rnacentral:tRNA from 2 species
GCCGUCUUAGCUCAGAGGCAGAGCGCCGGUCUCCAAAACCGGAUGCCGCAGGCCCGAACCCUGCAGACGGUGCCA